AUGCGAUAAGUUCAAUUAUUGAAAUCUAAAUAUGUACUUACUGUAGAAGUAAAGGAAAUGAAGUUGAGCGUGUUUGGUAAAUAGUUUCUAUAAUGCAGUCUAGAAUCAUACUUUGUACUUUAUAUUUUAUUAUCUACGCUCUUCCACAAGGAAAUACAAAAUCAGUACAAUUUGAUUCAUCUGUAGAACUGGGGAGCAAUAUCACAAGUAUCAUUCAAAACUUAACAGCUUACUUGCAAGGGUUACAGAUAAAUAAUUUAUUUAAAGGCCUCAAACUUACUACACCGAAACCGCAAGUAUCAGAGGCGUCUAAUAAAUUUAAAGAACGCAUAUUGCAACUAAUUAAAGCCAUGGGAAACGGACCCCCAACGACGGCAACGACCCCUGACCAAUUCCAAGGUUGGGGCAUGAAAGGGAAAUCACCGGAUGAUGCAAAGGGAUCGGAUUUCUGGGAUAUUGUGAAAGAAAUGUUGAAAAAUGUAGCCGGCACUCUAGCCAGUAAACCUUCUCAGGCCAUCGUACAGGAGGCAGAACAGGAAAAAGAAUAUAGUCUACUACAGAACAUAAAAUCAGGACGAGUUCGGGGACCGGUUCACGUUUAUGGACAUCACAGCGGUAGCAGAGAAUAUGAUGAUUAAUAUAGUUGAGUUGUAAUAAAUAACUAAAUUUUAUUAUUUAUGUUGUGGGUAUGUGAAUUUAAAAAAAUUGUCAGGGUUGGCAAUUAGAUGCAUUGAAAAUGAUACAGCAAUAUCGUAUUAACUCUUUAUUUAAUACAUUAAACGAUUAUCAAUUUA